rnacentral:lncRNA from 1 species
UGCCCUGAGAUAGCUAAGAUAACUGCCCUGACUGUGCUGAGAUAGCUGCGCUGAGAUAGCUGCGCUGAGGUAGCUGCCCUGAGGUAGCUAAGAUAACUGAGAUAGCUGCGCUGAGAUAACUGCGCAGAGGUAGCUGAGAUAAAUAUCCUGACUGCGCUGAGAAGACCCAAAUUCUACUUAAGGCUUUCCCCUCCGAAGCGUGGCUGAAUUGCCACUAAAGCUCAUUUUCUGCCGAAGCAGGUUUUCCAGCAUUGUUAACCAUUACUGAUGUGCUGUAAAUUUUCAAGAAAAAUACAGAUGGCAACAUAUACCCUACUCCCUCCCUCUUAGUAACAUGUGCAUGAUUAAAAUAAACAUGUUAUGUGUAUGCUUGUGAUUGGUGUUCCUACUUGUGAUGCUAGUGACAGGGCUAGUAUGACUCUAUGGUCCCAAAGUAUGUUAUCCAAAUUAUGUUCCAAGCCCUAGCACGUAUGCAGAAGGUGUGCAGCUUCGUAUACUUAGUCAAUUCAUAUUUUAGACCUAGGCACAUAUGCAGAAGGUGUGCAGCUUCCAAGACAUAAUAUCAAAUUCCCAAAUCCCUUCAAGAGAUAAUAUAAAUCAUGAUUUUUCUCAAGUGGUAAAGUAUAACAUUUUCCAAAUCUCAAUCAUGCUUACAUGCUUCGAUGAAAUAACUUAAGAUCAUGUUUCAUACUUACAUGCUUUGGUGAAGUAACUUAACAUCAUGUUUCAUUCAUACUUACAUGCUUCGAUGAGACACCUUAAGAUCAUGUAGUGAGAAAUUUCAGUUCUGCGAAGUACCUGGAUCACCACUAGUUAGUGGGUUACCUUUGUUACAUUACGGCUUAGACAUUCUGUGCUGGGAUGUAGAGUUCCUAUGUUGAAGACCAGCUUAGAUAUCCCGCAGCACCGCUUAGAAAAUUAUGCGGCGCAGCUUUAGUAACUC